rnacentral:rRNA from 1 species
UUAGAGGAAGUAAAAGUCGUAACAAGGUUUCCGUAGGUGAACCUGCGGAAGGAUCAUUAAAAGUAUAUAGUUAUACAUUCUGUGUAUCGACUAAAUAUACCCAUUCUGAGUACCUUGCCUGUUGCUUCCAUGGAGCCUGACACAUGUCACUCUGGGGAUUUACAUCCCGAGGGAGCCUCCGUGGAAGGUAAUCAAUUAACUCUUGAAUCCAAUGUCAUCUGUCUGAUAAUGUUUAUAACAAAUGUUAAAACUUUCAACAACGGAUCUCUUGGUUCUCGCAUCGAUGAAGAACGCAGCGAAAUGCGAUAAGUAGUGUGAAUUGCAGAAUUCAGUGAAUCAUCGAAUCUUUGAACGCACAUUGCGCCUCCUGGUAUUCCGGGAGGCAUGCCUGUUCGAGCGUCAUUAAAUACCACUCAAGCUCUUCUGCUUGGUCAUGGAAGAAGAGUAUGCUUGCAUCCUCUCUUCUGAAAUCGAAUGGCGGACUGCCUCAUGUGCCUCGCGUAGUAAGUUCAUCUUUUCGCUUGGAGUGUGAGAUAGUCUCGCCAUCAACCCCCAUACUUCUAAGGUUGACCUCGGAUCAGGUAGGGAUACCCGCUGAACUUAAGCAUAUCAAUAA